UGUGACUCAUUUGGUAGAGUGUUUGCCUAGCAUGCAGAAAGCCCUGGGUUCUCUUCCCAGCA
rnacentral:tRNA from 1 species